UGGAGCUUCCGGAGCCAUUCAGUUUCAUCUUCACUUGGUUUGCUGCUGUGCCAUUUCUAGUUUGGUUAGCUCUUACCCUUACAAAUGCAGUUGUUAGAGACUCUUUGAUCUUGAAGGGACCUUGUCCAAACUGUGGAACUGAGAAUAUCUCUUUCUUCGGCACCAUACUGUCCGUUUCAAGCGGUGGCAACAUAAACAACAUCAAGUGCUCAAACUGUGCAACUGAGCUGGUUUACAACUCAAAAACCCGCCUGAUCACAUUACCAGAAGGAAGCAACGCCUAAGUGAGAGGAUUUGUUAGCCGUAAUUCCAGGAGAAACAAGACCACGGGGAUAUCAUAAGGCAGCUACAAGAAUUCUCCAUGGUUAGAUAUGAAUGAUAUUAAGAUGUUUAAGCCCUGCCUUUAGAGAGAGGAUUUUUCAGCUGUUGUACAACAUUGUAUCUUGAUGUACAAAUUUGUGAAUAUUCAUCAUGUAUAAACGAUACCUAGAGAAGGGUGUGAUGAAGUUUCAG
rnacentral:misc_RNA from 1 species